rnacentral:rRNA from 1 species
UACGGGGGGGGCAAGCGUUGUUCGGAAUUACUGGGCGUAAAGGGCGCGUAGGCGGCCUUCUAAGUCGAACGUGAAAUCCCCGGGCUCAACCCGGGAACUGCGUCGGAUACUGGAAGGCUUGAAUCCGGGAGAGGGAUGCGGAAUUCCAGGUGUAGCGGUGAAAUGCGUAGAUAUCUGGAGGAACACCGGUGGCGAAGGCGGCAUCCUGGACCGGUAUUGACGCUGAGGCGCGAAAGCCAGGGGAGCAAACGGG